GAUGAACGCUGGCGGCGUGCCUAAUACAUGCAAGUCGAGCGAAUGGAUUAAGAGCUUGCUCUUAUGGAGUUAGCGGCGGACGGGUGAGUAACACGUGGGUAACCUGCCCAUAAGACUGGGAUAACUACGGGAAACCGGGGCUCAUACAGGAUACCAUUUUGAACCGCAUGGUUCGAAAUUGAAUAGCGGCUUCGGCGGGCAUUUAUGGAUGUACCCGAGGCGCAUUAGCUCGUUGGUGAGGUAACGGCUCACCAAGGCACCGACGCGUAGCCGACCUGAGAGGGUGAUCGGCCACACUGGGACUGAGACACGGCCCAGACUCCUACGGGAGGCAGCAGUAGGGAAUCUUCCGCAAUGGACGAAAGUCUGACGGAGCAACGCCGCGUGAGUGAUGAAGGCUUUCGGGUCGUAAAACUCUGUUGUUAGGGAAGAACAAGUGCUAGUUGAAUAAGCUGGCACCUUGACGGUACCUAACCAGAAAGCCACGGCUAACUACGUGCCAGCCGCCGCUGUAA
rnacentral:rRNA from 1 species